rnacentral:tRNA from 1 species
GGCUUCGUGGUUUAGUGGUAUAAUUCUCGCUUAGGGUCACACCCUCAGCUCGUCUGCGAGAGGUCCCGGGUUCGAUCCCCGGCGAAGCCC